UAUAGUCAUCUAAAUUUGCAGUUACAUUAAUUUUUGAUUUUUUUUCCAGUGAAAAUGAGUAGAAAGGUUGAUUCUGUGAAAGACAUCAAUGACUCAAAAGAAACUUGGCGUCUUGCUGUUCGAAUAAUGGAUGUUUGAAGUAUUGUGAAUAAUAAGGGUAUUGAACAUUUGGAGAUGAUUGUUAUGGAUUCCUUGGUAAAUUGCUUUUCUUUUUUUAAGUAUAGAUUUU
rnacentral:lncRNA from 1 species